GGUAAGGCCCUUUCGGGGGUACACGAGCGGCGAACGGGUGAGUAACACGUGGGUGACCUGCCCUCAGCUCUGGGAUAAGCCUGGGAAACUGGGUCUAAUACCGGAUAUGACUUCACAUCGCAUGGUGUGUUGUGGAAAGUUUUUUCGGCUGGGGAUGGGCCCGCGGCCUAUCAGCUUGUUGGUGGGGUGAUGGCCUACCAAGGCGACGACGGGUAGCCGGCCUGAGAGGGCGACCGGCCACACUGGGACUGAGACACGGCCCAGACUCCUACGGGAGGCAGCAGUGGGGAAUAUUGCGCAAUGGGCGGAAGCCUGACGCAGCGACGCCGCGUGGGGGAUGACGGCCUUCGGGUUGUAAACCUCUUUCGACCUUGACGAAGGCCUUCGGGUUGACGGUAGGGGUAGAAGAAGCACCGGCCAACUACGUGCCAGCAGCCGCGGUAAUACGUAGGGUGCGAGCGUUGUCCGGAAUUAUUGGGCGUAAAGAGCUCGUAGGCGGUCUGUCGCGUCGGUCGUGAAAACUUGGGGCUUAACCCUGAGCUUGCGGUCGAUACGGGCAUGACUGGAGUUCGGCAGGGGAGACUGGAAUUCCUGGUGUAGCGGUGAAAUGCGCAGAUAUCAGGAGGAACACCGGUGGCGAAGGCGGGUCUCUGGGCCGAUACUGACGCUGAGGAGCGAAAGCGUGGGGAGCGAACAGGAUUAGAUACCCUGGUAGUCCACGCCGUAAACGGUGGGCGCUAGGUGUGGGGGCCAUUCCACGGUCUCUGUGCCGCAGCUAACGCAUUAAGCGCCCCGCCUGGGGAGUACGGCCGCAAGGCUAAAACUCAAAUGAAUUGACGGGG
rnacentral:rRNA from 1 species